rnacentral:tRNA from 1 species
AGGAUGAUAGUUUAAAAAAAACACUUAACUUGCACUUAAAAAUUAUUGAAUCAAUUCAUCUUA